CAUAGUGAUGAAUUAUAUCACAAUUGUCACUACCUCUGAGGCAUAUUCUUCAACAUAGUUUUGUUUUGUUAUUGCUUGCCUACAUUUGAUUUUAUAGCCUGGUG